rnacentral:rRNA from 1 species
UACAGAGGUCUCAAGCGUUGUUCGGAUUCAUUGGGCGUAAAGGGUGCGUAGGUGGCGCCGUAAGUCAGGUGUGAAAUCUCGGAGCUCAACUCCGAAACUGCACUUGAUACUGCGGUGCUCGAGUACUGGAGAGGAGAUUGGAAUUUACGGUGUAGCAGUGAAAUGCGUAGAUAUCGUAAGGAAGACCAGUGGCGAAGGCGAAUCUCUGGACAGUUACUGACACUGAGGCACGAAGGCCAGGGGAGCAAAACGGG